CUCGGCCCCUCUGCGACCCGCACCUGGUGGAGGCUGCCAGGUUUUCUCGUGGAAGAUCUGGCAGCAUAAGAGCCCUCGGGUAGGUAAGAGGUUGGGUGCGGCCAACGUUUGCAAUAAAACGUGCUGCAGGAUGUGCUGGGGAGUUGGUGUGCUGGAAUUAGGGAGCUGUCCCUGCUUAGGAAAUAAAAAGGAGGAAAUCUCAGGAAGGGAAAAGGAAAGGUGUGAGUCCGUUGGGUAUAGAAGAACCUCGUGGUAAACAGAACUCUGCUUUCGUCUUGCCACCCAGGCUGCAUCAAAAGGAUCAUGGCCAGCAGGGCAAGGGAGGUGAUCCUGCACUUCUGCCCUGCGCUGUGAGACCUCACCUGGAGUGCUGCGGCCACAUGGGGAGUCCUCAGUGCAGGAGAGACAUGGACCUGUUCGAGCAUGUCCUGAGGAGGGCCACAAUAAUGAUCUAAGGGAUGGAAUACCUCCCUGUGAGAGAGAAGAUUGAGAGCCGGGGCUGUUCAGCCCUGAGGAGGCUCUGGGGAGACCUGAGAGUAGCCUUUCAGUGUCUAAAGGGGGGAUACAAGAAAUCAGGGAACAAACUCUUUAGCAGGGUCUGUUGUGAAAGGAUAAGUGGAAAUAGUUUCAAACUGAAAGAGAGAAGGUUUAGACUAGAUAUAAGAAUAAAGCUGUUUUUGAUAAGGGUACUUGAAGUGCUGGAUCGGGUUGUCGUGAGAGGUGAUGGAUACCCUGUACUUGGAGACAUGCAAGGUCAGGCUGGAGGGGCUCUGAGCACCCUGAUGAAGCUGUGGGUAUCUCUGUCCUUUGCAGGGGGGUUGGACCAGAUGGCUUUUAGGGUCUCUUCUAAUGCAAGCGAUUCUAUGAUUUAAACUGUAGGGUGAUGAGGUAUUAUAAAACUGAAGAGUGAAGUAGGUGAUCAGACUGACUGCUGGAAACUAUCUAAUUUCUGUUCUUUGUGACCAAUAUGGCUGGGGGACAUCUUCUCUUUCUCCUUUUUCAUUGGAUUGACAGAGGUUGGGAGCAUCCAUUGCCAGUUGCACAAUGUCUUUGACUUAGAGUCAGUGCAGUGAAUUAUUUGAGCCUCUUUUCAUCAGCAGCAUCUACCUGGGAGGACAGUCAUCCUCAAAAGGUGGUGCUGAUAAACCUUGGAGAUGUUUUAUCUUCUGUGUACCAAAUGCUGAAGUGAAGAGAAGCUCUGCCCUGGGAACACUGAAAACAAAUACUUUAAAAUGGCAAUCCUUGGAAUGGCAGAAUGUGAAUUUGCUGUGGAAGCAGUAGUUCGGGACACAGACCUCAGUGGUUAAAGUGGCGUGUGCUGCCUUUUGGGAUAGGAAAGGGGUGAUUCUUCUGGAUUUCCUGGAACCCA